CCAGCGGCCAAUCUAAUUGGUGGAGCCCCUUCCAUUGUCCUGACCAGAGGACGCCACGGAUUGGCCGCGGAGCCGUACACGUCACUGAGGAUUGAAAGGGCGCGCAAAUAUAAAAGGCUAGCAGUCCUUACUAUUAGGUGAUCCAUACAGUCUUCAGAGUUUGGAAGCAGUCUAAAAGAUGGAAGGAGGACAAAUCUCUAAGUAGCUCCAUUCCCAGAACAUAUGGCCAUAUGAACACUUCCAAAGCGCUACAGUUAGAAAAAGUGAACAUCCAAGCAUGACAACUAACUAGAUAUUCAAAGUUAACUAUUUACAUGUGAUCACUCCUGCACAAGAAUAAUAUGAAUGAAAGAAGAUAGGUGAAAUACCAGUGAUCAGCUAGGUGGUGCCACAUCCCUUUUUUAAUGCCUCACAAAAAAAAAAAAAAACCCAACCACUUCUCCUACAAACGUUAUUGAAGUCAAAAUCUGGUUUGAAAGAGAGUCUACAUGAAAGAUACAUCCAUUAGGGUCACCUGUUCAGUACAUUGGAUAACAGGAACUUACCAAAAAAUUCAUAACUAAGGCUACAUAAAGCAUGAUCCACCUGAAGCCUCAUCCAAACAGACUUUGUUAAUAGACUAAUUUUUCAUCCUAAACAAGACUUAUCUUAGCCCCCGUUAUAAUUACUCUAGCAUAACAGGUGGAUGUCUACAGAGAAGCUUCAGUGUUCCUAUUUGAGGAUACUUCUGUCUUGAAAACCAUGGAUUCUUUCGGGAAAUAGUCUCUCAGAUGGGACUGUUGUGUUGUUAACAAAGAAUGAGACUGCUUUAUCUAAUGUAGGCCUCACCAGCAUACAUAUAACAAAAUCAGAAUAAAAAAGAUUCCUGUUUGGAACUAGAAGGAAAAUAGAGGUUUUAAAAGCUCAGCUUGCUCUUCUUGAAUUUUUACAAUAUCUAACAUCUUUUUAACUAUUUGCUCAAGGGACACAGGUGGAAAAGUUUGUCAGUGGUACAGGUACAACCUCCUUCUUUUCCAGAACACAAUUUGUUUCC